rnacentral:tRNA from 1 species
GGGGGUAUAGCUCAGCUGGGAGAGCGCUUGACUGGCAGUCAAGAGGUCAGGAGUUCGAGCCUCCUUAUCUCCACCA